rnacentral:rRNA from 1 species
GUGGGGAAUAUUGGGCAAUGGGCGAAAGCCUGACCCAGCAACGCCGCGUGAAGGAAGAAGGUCUUCGGAUCGUAAACUUCUAUCCUUGGUGAAGAUAAUGACGGUAGCCGAGAAGGAAGCCCCGGCUAACUACGUGCCAGCAGCCGCGGUAAUACGUAGGGGGCAAGCGUUGUCCGGAAUGAUUGGGCGUAAAGGGCGCGUAGGCGGCCUGGUAAGUCUGGAGUGAAAGUCCUGCUUUUAAGGUGGGAAUUGCUUUGGAUACUGUCGGGCUUGAGUGCAGGAGAGGUAAGUGGAAUUCCCGGUGUAGCGGUGAAAUGCGUAGAGAUCGGGAGUAACACCAGUGGCGAAGGCGACUUACUGGACUGUAACUGACGCUGAGGCGCGAAAGUGUGGGGAGCAAACAGGAUUAGAAACCCCGGUAGUCC